AAAACAAUAAAUCACCUCAACAUAUUUUGGGGGAAAAAAGAAGGAAAGAGAAGACUUACAUAAAAUCACUACUCUUUUUUCCUGUCAAUAAAACAUUUGAUAGAUUAAAAUUAAAAAUACACACUAAACUACAAGUGCAGUGUCACAGAGGACGCCAUUCAGCUAAAUAUGGUCGACCCUGCCAUCAUCAUCACUCAUUCCAUCCCCAGCGCGCCGCCAAGAUGUAGUUAGAUUGCGAGCCUUCCUGUCCAACUGAAGGUUUUCC
rnacentral:misc_RNA from 1 species